rnacentral:rRNA from 1 species
GCUUGUUGGUGGGGUAAUGGCCUACCAAGGCGAUGAUCAAUAGCUGGUCUGAGAGGAUGAUCAGCCACACUGGGACUGAGACACGGCCCAGACUCCUACGGGAGGCAGCAGUGGGGAAUAUUGGACAAUGGGGGCAACCCUGAUCCAGCAAUGCCGCGUGUGUGAAGAAGGUUUUCGGAUUGUAAAGCACUUUCGACGGGGACGAUGAUGACGGUACCCGUAGAAGAAGCCCCGGCUAACUUCGUGCCAGCAGCCGCGGUAAUACGAAGGGGGCUAGCGUUGCUCGGAAUGACUGGGCGUAAAGGGCGUGUAGGCGGUUUGUACAGUCAGAUGUGAAAUCCCCGGGCUUAACCUGGGAGCUGCAUUUGAUACGUGCAGACUAGAGUGUGAGAGAGGGUUGUGGAAUUCCCAGUGUAGAGGUGAAAUUCGUAGAUAUUGGGAAGAACACCGGUGGCGAAGGCGGCAACCUGGCUCAUAACU